AUGACUACUAUAUUCUUUGACAAUUAUACGGCAGCUGAAGUAGGGGCAUUGAGGAAUGAAGGAUACCUCCAAAUUUUUAUAUUAAUAGGUACUGUCAUUUUUGUAAUCCUCAAUACUAUAUUUAGAGAUGAAAAAAUAAGAAAAAUUGAGGAUAAAAUGCAAGCCCAAUUAGAAGAUCUAAAAAGUCUCUUACAAGAUCAAUUGGAAAACAACCACUCUACCAGAAACAGACCUGUUUCUGAACCUUUGAAUGAGGAAAUUUCCUUCCCUGAAAUAGAGAUGGAAAGCACCUUCCCUAUAGCCCAGUUAACAGACUGCUUCUCUCGUGCAGUGCAAAUCUUGUCUGAAUUUAAUCCCCAAAACCCUUCCCCUGCAAUCCCAGCUUCUCAUGUUCCUUCUCCUACAGAAAACCAAAUUCCAAUGCAAGAGAAAUCUUGUCCUCCUAGAAAAACCUGUUCUUGUCAAACUGACCCACAGGUGCAAAAUUCAACUAGAGGCCUGUUUCCUCUAAGAGAAGUACCUGAAAUAGGACGAAAUGGGGAUGUGGUGACUUUAAGACAUAGGAUACCGUUUACUCCCCAAGAAAUAAAUGAAUUUACACGAAAUAUCCCCACAUAUGAACAAGAUCCUUUUCUAGUAACAAAAAAGAUGGGAGACAUAUUUUUUCAGUAUAAUCCAUCUUACAAGGACGUUGAGAGCUUACUACAGGCUUUUUUAAGUGAACGUGAAAAAAAUAAAAUAAUUGCUCAUGUCAACAAAACCCGGGGGCGUAAUGCAGCACAUUGGCCAUCUCAGGAUCCCAAAUUGGAGUAUAACAAUCCUGAUGAUUAUCUACAACUAUACCGUUGUAGAGAGGCCAUCCUCACGUCCAUGAAGGAAUGUGCAGACAAUACAGAUAAGUGGAUGGAACUGGAAAAAAUUAAGCAAAAGGAAGAAGAAACACCCUCCAGAUUUAUGGACAGAAUUAUCGAGUUUGUGGACAGAUACUUAGAUUGGGACUUAACUAAAGAGAGUAGUUUAAGACAAGUUAGAAGAAUCUUUGUAAACAAUUCUUGCAAAGCAAUUAAAAAUUAUUUCAAAACACAAUGCCCAAGAUGGUCAGAUAUGGACCUUGAAGAAUUGCGAAAAACAGCUAUAUAUGUUUUAAAGGGAAACGAAGAAAAGGAGAUAGAAAAUAAUGAUGACAUGGAGGAAAUGAAGAAAAAAAAUGAGAUAUUUAAUAGAUAG
rnacentral:lncRNA from 1 species